GAGUGGUAGCUCAGUUGGUUAGAGUAUCGGCCUGUCACGCCGAGGGUCGCGGGUUCGAGCCCCGUUCACUCC
rnacentral:tRNA from 1 species